ensembl:lncRNA LINC00662 long intergenic non-protein coding RNA 662
AGAGAUGCGCAGUGCUGCCCCUUUCUAUGGGCAGGGCCGAAGGUCCGCGUGUAAAAGUACCCAGUCCCUGGUAACCUGACACUUCCCUUUUAAAAGCCACCUUUUGUCUAUCUCUGGCCUGCCACGAUUCUUCCUGUGCUCCAUAGGAGGACCCAUUGGACCCCCGGGCUGGCUGCAGGGCCCACACCUGGGUUAGACCUCGCACAGGGACGCUGCUGCCACUGUAAUAAAGCGUGCCUACACGCUUCUGAAACUGGUGUAGGAACAACCUCAGUUCUGUGAAAGGCGGACGCAGCAGGACAGAAUCUCCGUGGACAUCUGUCUGGAGGAGCAAUUUUACUGCGACAUUUUAAAGAAACAAAUUUAAUUGAUUUCCAAGGGUGUCCAUCGCGCUUCCUUCACUGCCUUGAUCAUGUCGGGGUCACCACCUGCGGGGGUUUGUCCUGCAGACCCUGACUCAACGACGGAUGAAUAAUGUACACUGACACAGAUCUUAUGCUUGUCAGUCCUGCUGAGCAUCCAGGCCACUUACAGACUCCAAGAAGAGUCCUGUCAGCCACGGCUCUGACUUGUUGGCCCUCCCGGCAUUUAUUUAGCACACAUUUAAUGACAGAAGUCUCAGGCUGGAAACACUCUUUUUGUAGAACAUACAAAUGGACAUUUCUAAGCACAUUGAGGCCUAUAAUGAAAAAUCAAAUAUCCCACAAUGAAAACUAGAAGGAAGCUAUCUGUGAUAAUGCUUUGUGGUGUAUGGAUUCAUCUCACUGACUGAAACCUGAGUUUUGAUUCACCAGAAUCUAUGCAGGGACAUUUUUGUGCUCAUUGAGGCCUACUGUGAAAAACCAAACAUCAGGGGUGGAGCCAAAAAAGCCAAAUAGGAACAGCUCCAGUCUACAGCUCCCAGCAUGAGCCACACAGAAGAUGGAUGAUUUCUGCAUUUCCAACUGAGGUACCAGGUUCAUCUCACUGGGGAGUGUUGGAAAGUGGGUUCAGGACAGUGGGUGCAGGACACCGAGCAUGAGCCAAAAGAGGGUGAGGCAUCACCUCACCUGGGAAGCACAAGGGGUCAGGGAAUUCACUUUCCUAGUCAAAGAAAGUGGUGACAGAUGGCACCUGGAAAAUCAGGUCACUCCCACCAUAAUACUGCACUUUUCCAAUGGUCUUAGCAAAUGGCACACCAGGAGAUUAUAUCCCUUGCAUGGCUUGGAGGGUUCUACACCCAUGGAGCCUUGCUUAUUGCUAGCACAGCAGUAUAAGAUCAAACUGCAAGGUGGCAGAGAGGCUUGGGGAGGGGCACCCACCAUUGCCGAGGCUUGAAUAGGUAAACAAAGUGGCUAGGAAGCUCGAACUUGGUGGAGCCCACCACAGCUCAAGGAGGCCUGCCUGCCUCUGUAGACUCCACCUCCGGGGGCAGGACAUAGCCAAACAAAAGGCAACAGAAACCUUUGCAGAUUUAAUUGUCCCUGUCUGACAGCUUUGAAGAGAGUAGUGGUUCUCCCAGCACGCAGCUGGAGAUCUGAGAAUGGAGAGAUUGCCUCCUCAAGUGGGUCCCUGAACCCCAAGUAGCAUAACUGGGAAGCACCCCCCAGUAGGGGCAGACUGACACCUCACAAGGCCGGGUACUCCUCUGAGACAAAACUUCCAGAGGAACAAUCAGGCAUCAACAUUUGCUGUUCACCAAUAUCCGCUGUUCUGCAGCCUUUGCUGCUGAUACCUAGGCAAAUAGGGUCUGGAGUGGACCUCCAGCAAACUCCAACAGACCUGCAGCUGAGGGUCCUGACUGUUAGAAGGAAAACUAACAAACAGAAAGGACAUCCACACAAAAACCCCAUCUGUACGUCACCAUCAUUGAAGACCAAAGGUAGAAAAAACCACAAAAAUGGGGAAUAAAACAGAAAAGAAAAACUGGAAACUCUAAAAAUUAGAGUGCCUCUCCUCCUCCAAAGGAAUGCAGCUCCUCACCAGCAAUGAAACAAAGCUGGAUGGAGAAUGACUUUGACGACUUGAGAGAAGAAGGCUUCAGAUGAUCAAACUAUUCUGAGCUAAAAGAGAAAGUUCGAACCCAUGGCAAAGAAGUUAAAAACCUUGAAAAAAAGUUAGAUGAAUAGCUAACUAGAAUAGCCAAUGCAGAGAAGUCCUUAAAGGACUUGAUGGAGCUGAAAACCAAGGCACGAGAAAUACAUGAUGAAUGCACAAGCCUCAGUAACCAAUUCGAUCAACUGGAAGAAAGGGUAUCAGUGAUGGAAGAUCAAAUGAAUGAAAUGAAGUGAGAAGAGAAGCUUAUAGAAAAAAGAAUAAAAAGAAAUGAACAAAGCCUUCAAGAAAUAUGGGACUAUGUAAAAACCCCAAAUCUACAUCGGAUUGUUGUAUCCGAAAGUGACAGGGAGAAUGGAACCAAGUUGGAAAACACUCUGCGGGAUAAUAUCCAGGAGAAUUUCCCCAAUCUAGCAAGGCAGGCCAACAUUCAAAUUCAGGAAAUAACAGAGAAUGCUACAAAGAUACUCCUCGAGAAGAGCAACUCCAAGACACAUAAUUGUCAGAUUCGCCAAAUUUCAAAUGAAGGAAAAAAUGUUAAGGAUAGCCAGAGAGAAAGGUCGGGUUACCCACAAAGGGAAGCCCAUCGGACAAACAGCAGAUAUGUCAGUAGAAACUCUACAAGCCGGAAGAGAGUGGGGGCCAAUAUUCAACAUUCUUAAAGAACAGAAUUUUCAACGCAGAAUUUCAUAUACAGUCAAACUAAGCUUCAUAAGUGAAGGAGAAAUAAAAUGCUUUACAGACAAGCAAAUGCUGAGAGAUUUCGUCACCACCAGGCCUUCCCUAAAAGAGCUCCUGAAGGAAGCACUAAACAUGGAAAGGAACAACUGAUACCAGCCACUGCAAAAACAGGCCAAAUUGUAAAGACCAUUGAGGCUAGGAAGAAACUGCAUCACCUAAUGAGCAAAAUAGCCAGCUAACAUCAUAAUGACAGGAUCAAACUCACACGUAACAAUAUUAACCUUAAAUGCAAAUGGGCUAAAUGCUCCAAUUAAAAGACACAGACUGGCAAAUUGGAUAAAAGGUCAGGAGCUAUCAGUAUGCUGUAUUCAGGAAACACAUCUCACAUACAGAGAC